rnacentral:rRNA from 1 species
UACAGAGGUCCCGAGCGUUGUUCGGAUUCACUGGGCGUAAAGGGUGCGUAGGUGGCGUGGUAAGUUUGAUGUGAAAGCUCAGGGCUUAACCCUGAAAUGGCAUUGAAUACUACUGUGCUGGAGGUUUGGAGGGGGGACUGGAAUUCUUGGUGUAGCAGUGAAAUGCGUAGAUAUCAAGAGGAACACCAGUGGCGAAGGCGAGUCCCUGGACAACACCUGACACUGAGGCACGAAAGCGUGGGGAGCAAACAGG